UACACCUUCGCCAAUUUCUCCGAUCUCCUCAUCGAUGAUGGACUAACUUAUACGAAUACUAAGGACUUACCUUUUAUUUUCCUUUCCGUUAUUUUAAUAUUCUUUCAUCUUUUGACUCAUAUCAUUCUAUUUCCUUAUCAUCGAUUAUCAAGAGCUUCUCAUCACCGUCGUCUCUUCGUUGUCGCGUUUCGUUCGUCCAAUAGUAAAGGAUAGUAAAGGAAUCGUCGAGACAGCUUUGUUGUUAAAUCUGGACCACUUGAUGCCGGCACCGCCCCAAUCCUUCGUAUCUGCGAAGCGCUUCGUUGGGUGAGCACCCACGUGCACGCAACUCAGAGCGGAACAAACGAGAAAGGAGGAUGGUAUUGACCCAGUUUUGAUGCACCGUGCAAUGGCUUUUCUUUCUUAACUAGCAAACUCUUCGGUCAAGAAAAAAAGAAAGAAAGAAUGAAAGAAAAGAACGUGUGUUCAAACACGUUUCAUGAUAGUCUAUCGAAGAAGAAGAAAAAAAAUCUUAUGUUUCUUCGUUGAAGAAUUUCUUAUUAAAGAAAUUAAAAAGAGAAAACAGAGAGAGAGAGAGAAAGAAAGAGAAAGAGAAAGAGAAAGAGAGAAAGAGAUGAAAGUUGAAAACCGGAAGGAAUGUCAACAAAUUAGAAAACGCAUUUUAACGCAACUAUGAAGAAAAAAGAUAUGAAACGAGCGACAUUUAUUCUCCACUUCUCUUGCGACCUGACUCUUCGUCAUCUCGCCUCUCCUCCUUUUCAUACGCGCGUGUCCGGCCGAUGGACGUUGAUGACUUGUUACAAAAAUAUACUCUGCUUGUUCUUUAAGCCCAUGUCAGCGAAGAAUUUCACCUUGACGAGAAAUUAUUCCGAGAGACAUUUGACGUAAUCGUUCGUACAAAUACGAGGGGUAAAGAUACGCGGUGCAUUUUCCUCUCUUUCUAUCUUUCUCUAUUUAUACGUUUGUCUAUCUCUCCCCAUCUCUCCCCACCCCUCUUUCUUUCUCUCUCUCUCUUUCUUUCUUACCUGUUACUUAUAUAGUUAUUUUUCGAAUUAUAGUCUCGAAGCAUCAGCGACAAUCGCUUUCGUUUUCUAGUGGCCCGCUAACUAUUCGAAUCGACCAAUCAAGACAAAAGCGUUUUUCUAUCAAAUGAAAAUGCGCUAUUUUCGAAUCGUUUCAUACACCCCGACGGUGAUCAGAAAGCAUCGAGAAUAAACGAUGAAAAACAAACUCUAUCAAAUAUGAUAUAAUUCUUUGUGUGUGCGCGUGCUUGUGUGUGUGUUUACAUUUUCUGGUUUACAUUGUAUAAAAUCCAUGAUACUCUUGUAUCUCCUAGAUGUAAUCGAUUAUACAUCGAACGAUAAAUGUUUCCACAUAUAUGAUUCGUAUUAUAGAUUUAAAGUAACACAUACAUCUUGAGAAAUUGAUUGUGAACUAUAAAAGAUCAUAAUACAGAACCCUUCGUAGAAUUUUAAUUGAGCUGUGCUAUUGUAAUUAUAAGUUUCGCCUAUUUAAAAUUCAGUAAAGUCAACUUUUGCUUUACGUCAUGAUUUUUUUAUAUUUCGACAUCAAUUUUCUUUAUUCAACACUCUGCGUAUAUAUAUAUAUAUAUAUAUAUAUAUAUAUAUAUACAUACGAUCUUUUAUGCGAACGGAGAAUACUAUUAAAACUAAAAAAAUAUUUAUUUUACAAUAAAUAAUAUAAACACAUACACUUGUACAUCACGUGUAUGUAACAAAAACCAUGUCGAUUCACAAAGAAUACUCGCUUUAAUUAAACUUCUUAAAGCGUCGAUUUCGUUGUAUUAUUAUUAAUAUAGAACGACACUUGUGCGAUAUUUGGAUUUCUGCGAUAUAACGAAUUACGUCAAAAUUCACGUGUAACCGUGUGUCACUAAGCACAUUAUACAAUUAUUAUUUAUUUAACGAAUGUGUCGACGUUACGUAAAUAAGAGUUCUUAUUGUUAUAUCCAA